rnacentral:rRNA from 1 species
GAGAUUCCCCCAGUAGCGGCGAGCGAACGGGGAGGAGCCCAGAGCCUGAAUCAGCAUGUGUGUUAGUGGAAGCGUCUGGAAAGGCGCGCGAUACAGGGUGACAGCCCCGUACACAAAAGCGCAUGUGCUGUGAGCUCGAUGAGUAGGGCGGGACACGUGGUAUCCUGUCUGAAUAUGGGGGGACCAUCCUCCAAGGCUAAAUACUCCUGACUGACCGAUAGUGAACCAGUACCGUGAGGGAAAGGCGAAAAGAACCCCGGCGAGGGGAGUGAAAAAGAACCUGAAACCGUGUACGUACAAGCAGUGGGAGCACAGGUUUACCUGUGUGACUGCGUACCUUUUGUAUAAUGGGUCAGCGACUUAUAUUCUGUAGCAAGGUUAACCGAAUAGGGGAGCCGGAGGGAAACCGAGUCUUAAUUGGGCGUUAAGUUGCAGGGUAUAGACCCGAAACCCGGUGAUCUAGCCAUGGGCAGGUUGAAGGUUGGGUAACACUAACUGGAGGACCGAACCGACUAAUGUUGAAAAAUUAGCGGAUGACCUGUGGCUGGGGGUGAAAGGCCAAUCAAACCGGGAGAUAGCUGGUUCUCCCCGAAAGCUAUUUAGGUAGCGCCUCGUGAAUUCAUCUCCGGGGGUAGAGCACUGUUUCGGCUAGGGGGCCAUCCCGGCUUACCAACCCGAUGCAAACUGCGAAUACCGGAGAAUGUUAUCACGGGAGACACACGGCGGGUGCUAACGUCCGUCGUGAAGAGGGAAACAACCCAGACCGCCAGCUAAGGUCCCAAAGUCAUGGUUAAGUGGGAAACGAUGUGGGAAGGCCCAGACAGCCAGGAUGUUGGCUUAGAAGCAGCCAUCAUUUAAAGAAAGCGUAAUAGCUCACUGGUCGAGUCGGCCUGCGCGGAAGAUGUAACGGGGCUAAACCAU